rnacentral:hammerhead_ribozyme from 1 species
AUCCAGAUGACGAGUCCCAAAUAGAACGAAACGCGCAUCCUGGAU